AUGUGUAACCCCUGGAACAAACUCACAAUUGUCACUUACAGAGUCUCUGGUGAUACUGCCAAGUAACCUUACCUCACCCUUUGUCAGCUGCCCUGACUCUGAUGGUGCCAUGCCUCCAUACCUUACCUCUAUCCCUCUCUUUGGCAUGGCAAAGUGUUUUUAAGACCUCUGGGACAUAUCCUGUAGGAACACUGAGCUCCCUACAGUAGAACCACAACCCUCAGUAUUUCAUCUCUGGCACAAUGCUCUGCAGUCCAGAACAUGUCAAUUCCUUGUGGCACACAGGCAUAUCAUCGCCUACCCGCCAGCUGGUCAGGAGUUUGCACAUUGGUACUCCUUUUCCCUGAACUAGGAGUAAUUCAGGGAAAUGAGCCCCUGCCAAUCCUAGUUGUGGAUAUGAUAGCUGCUCAACAUAAAAGGGCAGUUCAGGUCGUGCCUCUCUUGGUCGCUCUGGGAAUAGCCAUAGGUGCUGGUACUGGAAUUGCAGGGAUAACGAUUUCCAUGACCCAAUAUCAUACAGUCACUUCCCAGUUUAAAAGCAAUUUUCAAGAAAUGUCUGAAACUGUGCUUACUAUCCAGAAACAGAUCAAUUCUUUGGCAGCUGUGGUGCUUCAGAACCGACAGGGGCUAGAUGUCCUGACAGCUAAAGAAGGUGUCCUUUGCCUGUUCCUCCAAGAUGAAUGCUAUUUCCACAUCAACCAAUCCAGGAUAG
rnacentral:lncRNA from 1 species